rnacentral:rRNA from 1 species
UAGUCCACGCCGUAAACGAUGUAUGCUAGUUGUUGGGGUCUUUAGGCCUCAGUGACGCAGAGAAAUCAUUAAGCAUACCGCCUGGGGAGUACGGCCGCAAGGUUAAAACUCAAAGGAAUUGACGGGGACCCGCACAAGCGGUGGAGCAUGUUGUUUAAUUCGAAGCAACGCGAAGAACCUUACCCACACUUGACAUCCUUCUUGGGACUUUCAGAGAUGAUUUCCUUCGGUUCGGCCGGACGAUGUACAGGUGCUGCACGGCUGUCGUCAGCUCGUGUCGUGAGAUGUUUGGUUAAGUCCAGCAACGAGCGCAACCCCUAUCGUAUGUUACCAGCAUUUAGUUGGGGACUCAUGCGAGACUGCCGGUGUUAAGCCGGAGGAAGUGGGGACGACGUCAAGUCAUCAUGGCCCUUACGUGUAGGGCUAGAACGUGCUACAAUGGGAGUUACAGUGGGCAGCAACGUCGCGAGGCGAAGCAAAUCCCUAAAAGCUACUCUCAGUUCGGAUAGGACU